AUUCUUUCUAACUCUUAGUUAUUUAUUUUAAAACUUCUUGGGCCAAUCAACACUAGAGAUGCCUCAGUUCUGUGUGUGUUCUCCUCCUGUAUCCAUGAUGAAGCCUCUCACAUACACAUCAAUUGAGACGUUUGCGGACGCCAAUCAAACAGAUGAGCGGAAAAGAAAAUCAGAACAAAGCAGGAAGCUGUAUUAGGGGGUGAGCUGAGGACAGCAGCAUGGAUCCUGAGUGGAGAAUGUAAAGGAUGAAGAUGGAAUAUUUCUCAUUGCUGCGGACUCACAAACCCAUGGGGAUAAAAUACGGAGGGAUUUGUGCAGGAGGUGGAGGUGACAAACGUAGUGGCUCAUUAAACACUCAGACUUGUUAGGGAUUUUUCUUCACCUCUGUGUGUAAAUUGGCUGCACAGAUCCACCUGAACCUCUCAUGUAUAUUUAUUUGAAAUCCCAGAGAGAAAACGUCUGAAUAACAAACGCAAUUCUGAUACAACAUCUGGGUCAAUCACAUCGGGUUCCUGUGGUCCUUCAUUAUCCAUCAAUCAAACUGAAUGUGACAGCUACACACACAC